GGAGUCUGGGCCGUAUCUCAGUCCCAAUGUGGCCGAUCACCCUCUCAGGCCGGCUACCGAUCGUCGCCUUGGUGGGCCGUUGCCCCGCCAACUAGCUAAUCGGACGCAAGCUCAUCCCAUACCGAUAAAUCUCUAGUCAACUCCUCAUGCAAGGAGCCACUCUCCUGGACAUUAACCGCGCGUUGGCAGGGGUAUUUCCUGAUAUGGGGCAGAUUGCUUACGCGUUACUCACCCGUUCGCCGCUCGGCAUUGCUGCCUCGCUCGACUUGCAUGUAUAAGACACGCCACCAGCGUCGUUCUGAGCCAGGAUCAAACUACU
rnacentral:rRNA from 1 species